AACGGUUCUGCCUUUUGAAGUGGAAUUGGCUUCGGAAAAUAUAGCCUCUAUGUCUCUGGUAAAACUGAGUGAAUGCUCCUGAUUGGAAUCAGAGAUGUGUUCUCCUCCUAUGCAGACCGAAGGAAGAAAAUCCUCUUAGUGAAUCUCCUUGACGUGUUCAAGAAAGCAUUAUCUUUACAGCUUGGAGUUUGUGAAGUCCACAGACUAAGGACGCACCAGCAGGGAGGAAAGCGCUCACUUUGUCCCUGCCACUUCACACUCAGGGUCACAGGCAAUGACAGAACAAAACUGGCACCACAGAUCAAAUUGCGGAAACAUUGGUUUUGGAUCCUUGUACUUUUGCCUCUGAAGUCUCCGCAGGGGGGUUCCUGUGGUCCCUCUCUGGUAGAGCCUCACAGAUUCCAUCUGAAGUGUAGUUGCUUGCCAAAUCUACUCAUCAUCCCCCUGCUCCCUGACUGUGGAACCCAACUACCCCUCUCAUCUUCAAGGAGAAUUAUGCUUUAUGCUCCUCAUCAACAAAAUAAAAGGUCAAGCCCUUAA
rnacentral:lncRNA from 1 species